AAAGCUUUCCCAAAUUUUCCAAAAGUGUAGAUUCUAGAGAUGGUUAGGCAGAAAUGAGGCUUGACAUUCCAUGCAAGAAGCAGGCUGACAAGCAUAUUUAUUUUGGAACGAUCCUACACUCUACGGGCAUUAGGAGCAUGUGUGAUUUCAUGUAUGCUGGCUGUAUUGCCUUAUCUGGAAUUUGAUUGAUGAACAAGGACUGGAAAUGGGCUACUACAAUCAAUCCUGGAAAUGUUCUGUAGGAAUAGUACUGAAGUUAUGGAUUUGGCUGUUCAAAGGCUGAGCUAGGCCAAAUCUGGGAAGUACAAAUGCCAGGCAAAUCAAGAAACAUUUUUAGACUGAAGCAGUGACUUUACAAGCUCAAAACACCCAUGAACUUCAGCUGUGCUUCAUUUGGAAAUAUGAUAUGAAAAAGGCUGCAAAAUGCCUGGAUCCACUAAAUUUAUCUUUUGUUCUCUAUUACUGCCGUAAGGGCCUCUGUGGGAACCAUUAGGUCACAGCUUGAACAUUGAGCAUCUGGUGAAGGGGUGUAGCCAGGCCUGAGAGCACAGGUGUGAGAAGUUCACCUGUGUGACUGUGGAGAACCAUGCGUCCACCCCUCCCUAAUCUCAUUUAAGGGCUGGCUGCCAAAGCGGAAGCAUGUCUAACUAAAGAUUGCCUCCUUUGGGAGUUUUCAUGGGAGACCCUAUCUUCAGAAAAUGGUUCUUCUGGGAAAUCUAGAGACUGGAAGAGAGAUCCUUUGAUCAGACCUGAUCCUUCAGCUUUGUCUGCCUGAAGAAGAGAAUUCUGAAUGCCUGGAGAGGCUGAAGUUCUCUUCAAAAGCUUUUGGAACAUAAUUUGAUUCUCUUAGAGCCGCCUCCAUAAUUCUCUACAAAAAUAAGGAAAACUCCAAAGUAUUUGAAAGGCGGUGAAGUUAAACUUUGCUACAGUGGCAGUUGGAUAGAAUUAGGCAACGUGCAUUUUACAAAGAACUGUUUAAAAAAAAAAAAGGACAGUAUGCAUAGUAUGUAUUUAAAGUUAAAACAUCGUUAUAUUGCUGAAGUAAAUUUAACAGUCAAAAUAAAAGUGUACAAACUACACAUCUAUUCAAUGCAAGAAUUUCAAUAUAAACAGUCAUCUGACAGAGCUGUAUAACAAAUAGAUUUUGCAAGUGUGGCUGUUUCUUAAAUAUGUUUUCUCUAAGUUGCCAGAAUUAUGAUGCCUUUCUUCAUAGUACUUUGAUGUAUUCAAAGACAAUGGCUCCAGGGCAGACACUGAAUGGAUUGGAGUUAGAUGUGAGCGUACCUUUUCAUAUGGUCAUUAUACUAAUGGCGCCUCUGAAGAAAGUCAACAAGAGUGACUUUUGGGGUUUCUGAAUGUAAGAAAUGUAUGCAUAUGUUAGAAUAUGUGACAGGAGGGAUUAUCUCAGAACCUAAGAUUAUUUUAGCACACUGAAAUUGUUGGGUUUAUCUAGCCUCUACAGAAUGAUAAAGGAGAAAGUGUUCAGUAUGCUGGGAGUUAAGUAGCUCUUAGAUGGAUGACAAAUGCAUUUUUUUAUAAAGUAAAAAAAAAAAAGUCCAAGGCUGGAUUUUCCCAAGGCAUACUGGAAGAUGUCUCUGCCUGCUGUGGGAUGGCUUGGACUAGGUGACUUUUGAAAGUUCCUUCCAACCAAACCCUUCUAGGAUUUUUAUGUUGCGCAGAUCCUAUCUGUGGAGAGAAGCUUCUAUUUUUCAGUCAUUUGAGAGAUCAUAUCAAUUUACCAGAAAACAACUGAAUUUGUGAAGGGUGUUUCUUUGACAAUGUAAUAUUGCACUUUAAUUAAAGGCAAAGCCACACACAUUGUGUAGCCAUCAGCACCAAUGGAAGUUGUCUGCAUUUUCCUCUGUGACAGAGAGCUGAGCUAAUCUGCAGCCAAGGAUUUGAGCAGCACAAAGCAACUUGAAGGCUACACUGGACCUGCAGCACAGAGUAGCACAGGCUUGUGCCUCUUCAGAUUAGCUGUUCUGUGGAUCACUGGGUCCUCAAUGCACAGUGGUUUUUCUGAAUGGCUCAAUAUAGGACCUUUCCUACUGGGAGAUGAUGUAGGAAAUGUAACCUGAAGCAUGAGAACCUGAGAUUGGUUAAACGCUAGCAUAGGAAAGAUAAUUGAAAUCUGUAAUUGUGUUUAAAACAUGACUUGUGUGCAACAGUUAGCAGAUUAGUAUUCAUCUCAUACAAAAUAUAUAUUAUGUGCUCGUUAUUCCUAUGUCUCUAUCAUCUGAAAGGAUGAGACUGAUAAUAGAGAUGGUGGUGAGAAGAAUAUCUGUUACUACCUUGACAACAGCCCAUUUUAAAACUUUCCUUCUCUAUAUUCUCCUUCAAUUACCUGGAAACCAUCAUGGACAUACAAUUAUACCUCACUAGGGAUCCAUGAAUUCAGGAAAUGAAACAAUCCAUUCUUUUUAGACUCUGAAGACAGCGACAAGAGAUGCACUCUGUGGAUCUAAUCUGUUUUCCUUAUAUUCCUGUCAUGGGUUGCAUUAGUUGUUACAAACUUUGUCUAAUGGUUUGUUUUAGCCAUAUUUUCUAUGUACAUGGAAAUGAAUCAACCAUUGGAAGUUAGCGUGUUGGGAUUUUUUUAUGUAAAAGGCAAGCAUUCUGUAGGAAGAUGAGAAAAAAAAUCAGUGUUACAGGAAUUUAACUUGGUACAGUGACAAAAGCCAUCAAUAAUGUUGUGAUUUAUAAACUUUACAGGAUGAAAAGCAAAAAAAAAGGCUUGACUUGCGCUUAGCUUUUACCAGAUUGAGAAAGCGCAGACUGAUUGGCAGCAAGUAGAGCUUGGAAGUAGUUCACAAAUCCUGAACAGAUUGUGCUAAACCUACUGAUUUUCUGCAGUCAUGAAGGCCUACUAUUUCUUUGUUUAAAAAGAAAUAAGUCUGUUUUCCAAAACUGAGUCAUUUAAAUGAAUUUUCAUGGGUAUUUUCAGACACUAGUGCUUCAGAAUAAUGUCCUUAAUUAAUGUUUUCUGGAAGGAAGACAAAACAGAAUGAAAUUAGUGACAUCCAAGACUCUGCCAGUAAUAGUUUCUCUAACUUUGAGAGCCAACAGCUAUGGGGUUUCUAAAAAGCUCCUGAGAAAAUAGGAAAAAAAUCUUUAACAUUUCUAUGGAAUGUAAAAUACAUGUUUUCACAUGACUGUAUAAAGAAGUGACAGAUCUGUUGUUUGUCCUAUGUCAUAUCCACAUGCUGUUGGCAUUGGCUGAGUUCUCAAGCAGGGGAUGUCAGGUACACAGUAUGUAUUUAGUGCUGUUUAAAUUGCUUAGUGGGAGUUCUCAGGUGAAUAAGUUUAUAUUUAAAAAAAAAAAAAAGUUUUUUUCAUGUUGUCAUAUGCAGAUAUUGAAAUGGAUGUAUAGGAUUUCUCGUCACACAGCUUGACAUUUUAACAGUAACACAGUACUAGAGCACGACAUAGGAAACUAGGGUGUAGGACAAAAAAUCAGGGCUGUUCUUUUUCUUCAUGUUCUACCUGCUUUAUCAAAAUUGUGCAUACUUAAUGGAAUACUUGGUUGUGGCAGUCUCGACCUCAGGCCAAUAGACGGAGAGUAGCAUCAGUGUUCAUGUCCUUGAUGUAGACUACACAAAGCUAGGGUUUGCAUCUUGGUCUUCUCUGUUACCAACAAGUACCUGUUCUGUGAUGAGCAGCCUGCUGUUCUGUCUCCUACGUCAAAAGGUUUUGGCUUUGUCAAUUUCCAGAAAUAAACUUUUUUUGAAUACUGAAAAACAUGUACUUCUCCAGAUGCAAUGACUGGUUGCAUCUUGCUAAGAAACGACUGCUGCAGAUCUUGUUGAAAGCUGUGAGUAGGUUCUUAGCAUGUCCACAGAAGGGAAGGGGCUAGGAGAAAAAUGUAUCCAGUAAGAAAUUUGGUGUGGCAAUGUGCUACUGAGCUGAGAAAUAUUUUAAUGAUACACUUGGAAAAAUUGUAUUAUUUUCUUUUCCACCUGGAAAAACCUGCAAAGAAAAGGUAAUAUUUGUCUUUAACAUGAUGCCUUUAAUUAGGGAUCACUCUUUUCUUUCCCAUCUCUCUAAAUCUUUUCCCACACCUUUCUCCUCUGCAUAAAGUGUAUGCCUCAAUUCAGUAGGGUAGUUUAAGCUCAUAUUUAAAUCCCAAUAACUGUUGGCCAACAGUAUGCUUAAAUAUAAGGAUUUUUACGAAUAGAUAUACUGGACUAAACCAGCCCUGUGAUAAAGGAAAAUGAAGACAGUCAAUGCUUGUUCAAUGAAGUAACACAAGUAUCAGUGAGAUCAAAAGCUGGAGAAUGGGAUUAGACUCUUGCAAGAAAGGCAUUCCAUUAUUUUCCUGAAACUGCUGUUUGAGUAGACUCACUACAACCUGUUCCACGUGAUUAGUCAUUAGUUUUCUUUGAUAAAAGCGAAGCAAGUCAUUACUAGACAUCUUGGUGUUUCUUCAUUUUAACAUGAGCAGAAUUACAGCAGCAGUGUACAGGUUUAAGUUCCUCUAAAGAAGGGGAGAAAAAAAAAAUUUUCAGUACAGAAACCAAACCUGAUAUCUGCAUCACAGAAGAGCAAUAACAGCUCUGUUUUGUGUGAUAUCUUUGCAUUGUUCUCCCCCUGUGCAGCAAUACAAUGGUAAGAUUUAGUAAAUUGCAGUAGAGAGAAAUAUGUUUUCAAUGAGAUGUGAAACUAGAUAUGUUCUUUAGUUAUGUAGAAAAUGGGAGCACUGCAAUCAAAUUUUGGACUACAAUAACUUACACUUUGCCACCGUUUUUACUGUUGGUAAAGCUGAUGUCUCCAUGUAAACAGAAGAUGAAACACCAAUAUUUUUGGAUCCCAUUGGAGACCUGCCUGUCUUUAGGGUCCGGGGCUGGCCGUACUUCGAAAAUAUCUGGGGCAGAACAGAAGUGAACAGAUGGGAGGAUACAGUAUGAGUUCUGAGUAGAGAUUUUGUUUGUUUUGAGAGAAAGCUUUUGGCUUGGAGAUUACAACUGCUUUGAAUUGCGCAACGACAUUAUUUUCCUUAAAAUAUAUAAUAAUACAAAUUGUGAGAUCUAUAAUCUAUUAUUUUCUGAACUAUUAAUAUCCAUGUUUUUAAUUACUCUUUUUUUUAAAAUUAAUAUUUCUACUUUGAUAUUAAACUCUCCACUGUCACUGUAAAGAUGUCUUUCAAAAAUGAAUGUUGUUAAAUGGCAUGCUUAGUAAAUGAUAGUAGUGAAGAUGUCUGGAAGGAAUAUGCUGUAAAAUAAACUAAUAACAUUUAACUGAA